rnacentral:tRNA from 1 species
GCCCCUAUCGUCUAGCGGUCCAGGAUUUCUCUCUUUCAAGGAGAAGGGGGAGGUUCGAGUCCUCCUGGGGGUG